GACGAACGCUGGCGGCGUGCUUAACACAUGCAAGUCGAACGGAAAGGCCCUGCUUUUGUGGUGUUCUCGAGUGGCGAACGGGUGAGUAACACGUGAGUAACCUGCCCUUGACUUUGGUAUAACUUCAGGAAACUGUGUCUAAUACCGGAUAGGAGCUCCUGCUGCAUGUUGGUGGUUGGAAAGUUUCGUCGGUUGGGGAUUGACUCGCGGCUUAUCAGCUUGUUGGUGGGUUAGUGGCUUACCAAGGCUUUGACGGGUAGCCGGCCUGAGAGGGUGACCGGCCACAUUGGGACUGAGAUACGGCCCAGCCUCCUACGGGAGGAAGCAGUGGGGAAUAUUGCACAAUGGGCGGAAGCCUGAUGAAGCACCGCCGCGUGCGGGAUGACGGCCUUCGGGUUGUAAACCGCUUUCGCAGGUGACGAAGUGUGAGUGACGGUAAUGGGUAAAGAAGCACCGGCUAACUACGUG
rnacentral:rRNA from 1 species